CUGAAGACAGACAAUGUAUUAUUUAAAUUGAACCUUAUUGGAAAUGGGCUGGUCUCCGACCUAAAUGGACGUUCCUGAUGCUCAUUACGUGUUGUAGACAAAGAAGCCAAAGCUAUCAGGAAAGAAUGUCCGGACUCAAUCGUGAAAGGGGAACAGAACUUACCGUACCAAUUAUUUACAGAUAGCCAACAAUUCUGGAUAUAAAAUUAAUUAAAUAGUGUAAAUUUUAUUCUUUAAAUGUUUUCCUCUGAAAUAAUCUAAAAAAUAAUGUUUAUUAAUAUUGUAUUAUUACUGCGAAUGUUUAUCUUAUUAAUAGAGAAAGUAACCUAUUUGUUGUAAAGAAUAUAGACAUGUAAGAUAAUAAGAUAUAACAUUUUGAGGAUUAAAAUUGGAUUUAUUAAUUUA